GGUGGUUAUCACAUCCUCCAGGCAUUUUUACCUCUGGUGCUGCCCUGAGAGUUGCAGUGUAUUGUGGAAAUAAAGUGUGAAGUCACUCAGACUGGGUCCUGCUGGUUGUGGAUGAGGCAAUUACAUAAAUACCUUUUGACAGAGGCUUAAAGGACCUGAUGGGGACUCUGGCCACACAAUGACCUGGCUGUAUGUGGCUGUCACUCCCCCCUGCCUCUCCUGGCAUUCCCUAAACUUUAACCACAACUUCUGGCUUCAUCACAUCGGUCACUGGGGACAGGCAGAAGAGGUUGUCCCUUUGGGCCCUGCCACCACAGUUCCUCUCAGUAUCCUCUGGCUCAGGCUGACCCACCACCACCUGCUCCACGUCCCACCUCUGACAUCCUGCCUCUUCCUUUUCCAGGUACAUGAGUAUUUUGGAACAGCUCCUCUUUGCAUCUUAUAAUUAAAUGACCACUAAUGAACGUGUUAGAGAAGGAGCAGCCGAAUGCUGCAGUCAUGGGCAUCCAUAGAAUAACUGCUGGGAAUUCACAGUGAUGUGGCACCAAGUUGCUGCCUGGGCUGCAUCAGCUCCUGGCCAGGGACAGCAGUAUGUGAGCACCCUGUCAUCCCUCCAGCCUCUGCUCUGCUUACAGGUACCCCCAGGCCCUGGCCCACCACCCACCACCCUCCCAUUUUUCAAGGGUAACAUUUGCUGGACACCUCUUGGACUGAAAAUCCCCCUCCCAGGGCUCCAGACUGCCCUGGCUCCUCUGGUGCUUGCCCUGAAUAUGAUGUAGGUACAAAAGCAAGUGGUGAUCCCUUGGUGCCAAUAUCCAGGAUUUCCCCUCUCUCUCAAGCACACAGUCCUUUUGGCCAUUCCUUUUCCCACGGCAGACAGCUCCAGAAGUGGGCUUGCUCCCCUUCCUUCACCCUCUCUCCUCCAGGAAACACUAAUAUCACAUGCAAGCCCC
rnacentral:lncRNA from 12 species